GUCAUUUACCCCCUCAAGCUCUGCUUGGUGUUGGGUGUCUGUUCUGCUUUACUGCGUGAACUCGCCCUAAAGCCAUCGGCAGCUUCUAUGCCAGCCUCCAGCGCAGCAGAAUCAGCGCUGGAAGGUCUGGCCAGGAAGCGUCCGGCAAGAUUCAAUUCAAGCUUGACCUCGGAUCAGGUAGGGAUACCCGCUGAACUUAA
rnacentral:misc_RNA from 1 species